CAAGUCGAACGAGAAAGUCCGCAAGGAUGAGUAAAGUGGCGACCGGGUGAGUAACACGUGACUAACCUACCCUCGAGUGGGGAAUAACUCCGGGAAACCGGGGCUAAUACCGCAUAACACCGAGAGGUCAAAGGAGCAAUUCGCUUGAGGAGGGGGUCGCGGCUGAUUAGCUAGUUGGUAGGGUAACGGCCUACCAAGGCAAAGAUCAGUAUCCGGCCUGAGAGGGCGCACGGACACACUGGAACUGAAACACGGUCCAGACUCCUACGGGAGGCAGCAGUGGGGAAUUUUGCGCAAUGGGGGAAACCCUGACGCAGCAACGCCGCGUGGAGGAUGAAGUCCCUUGGGAUGUAAACUCCUUUCGAUCGGGACGAUUAUGACGGUACCGGAAGAAGAAGCACCGGCUAACUCUGUGCCAGCAGCCGCGGUAAUACAGAGGGUGCAAGCGUUGUUCGGAAUUAUUGGGCGUAAAGGGCGCGUAGGCGGUGCGGUAAGUCUGUAGUGAAAUCUCUGGGCUCAACUCAGAGUCUGCUGCAGAAACUGCCGUGCUUGAGUGUGGGAGAGGUGAGUGGAAUUCCCGGUGUACAGUGAAAUGCGUAGAUAUCGGGAGGAACACCUGUGGCGAAAGCGGCUCACUGGACCACAACUGACGCUGAGGCGCGAAAGCUAGGGGAGCAAACAAGGAUUAGAUACCCUGGUAGUCCUAGCCCUAAACCAUGAUCGCUUUGGUGUAUUGGGUACCC
rnacentral:rRNA from 1 species